rnacentral:lncRNA from 1 species
CGCACUAUCAUUUUCCAUGUUCAGUGGACCGUGAAAUUGGGGUAAAAACUCUAAUUUGGCAUUAAAAUUAGAAAGAUCAUAUCAUAGGGGACAUGUGUACUAAGUUUGAAGUCGAUUGGACUUAAACUUCAUCAAAAACUACCUUGACCAAAAACUUUAACCCGAAGCGGGACAGACGGACGGACGAACGAACGGACAGACGGACGGACGGACGGACGCACAGACCAGAAAACAUAAUGCCCCUCUACUAUCGUAGGUGGGGCAUAAAAAAGGUA